GAAGAUGAUGCAUGUGAGCCCUGCCCUUGGGAAGCUUCCAGGUUGGGAAAUGAGGAAUGAGCCUGACACCCAGGGCCCAGAGAGACCCAGGCCAGAGGCAGGCCAGGAGGCAGACACGCGCUGCUGGGUAAUGACGACAGCACCAGUAAUCACGGCUACUCCUUGUUAAGUACUUACUAAGUGCAAGACUCCAAGCUAAGCAAUUAAUAGACCUUUUCUUGUUUAAUCCUUACCACAAUUCCAUAGGGUUGAGUAGGAAGUCCUUCUUGAAGUCUAAUCUCAAGAAUUCAUGCCAUGGAUUGGGCCAAUGUUCCACCUUUAUUGGAGUCUGGGGACUUAGGUGGAAAAGGCAGAACUGGCUGGUUGGAGGAGCCACCUCCCUGCAAGGGGCCAGGAGGGAGAUUACAGAGGCGCCAGGCCCAGAGCUCCAACAUGCACCUGCCACAGCUCCAGGGGAGAUCGGGGGCCUGCCAAUUUACCCCGCCCCAUGAUCUCAUGGCUGUGUGUGCCAGGCACUGGCUCAGGGAGCAGCAUCUCACAGAGAAGAUACUUGGAUGGGCCACAGGCCAAAACUGGGCCAAAACCCUGGAGAGGAGGACCUGGCUCAAGGCCACACCACAUUUCCAUGUCAUUUUUCAGUGGCACCAACUGAGCUGGACAGAUGUUCUCACAGAGCUACACAUGCCAUGAUCAUCACUAGUUGCGAGAGUCUCCAGUGUUCAUUAAGCCUAUUUUGCUGGAAGUUUAGUCCCUGGAGGAUUAGUCCCUGCCCUUAAGGAGUGCCAAAGAAGACUUUGGAAUCUAAAUCACAUCUCCCCUGCUGCAAUUUUUUCCUCUUGAUAAUCAAGGAAACUCACUGAUAAAACUCUCAAUGAGGAGCAGCUCUCCCCAUGAGCAAGUUCUUGCCUUCAUUGCCAGGGAGGGCCCAGCUAAGGUUAUACUGGGAAAGGAAUCUCUGGGGAGUACCUGGAAAAGGUCAGCUUCUCCUCAAAGGAAGCCUCUCCAGCUGGUGUACUGCAAAGCCUUCUAAGACCAAGUUCCCUCCUCCUGACCUCUGGAACCAGCCUGUGUGCCAGUGCUGUGUCCCCAGUAACACACGAGUCUCUCCCUCAGAAGCCACAGAAGGAUGCAGAGAGAGACCAACCUGGGAUUGAUUCUCAGCCCUAGCACUUACUGUGUGGACAUAACUGCUCUGGACCUCAGCUUUGCUUUCUAUAAAAUGAGCACCAUUUUAUAGAUAUGAACCCUUUAAGAGA
rnacentral:lncRNA from 1 species